GAUGAAGAACGUAGCGAAAUGCGAUAAGUAAUGUGAAUUGCAGAAUUCAGUGAAUCAUCGAAUCUUUGAACGCACAUUGCGCCCGCCAGUAUUCUGGCGGGCAUGCCUGUUCGAGCGUCAUUUCAACCAUCAAGCCCCAGGCUUGUGUUGGGGACCUGCGGCUGCCGCAGGCCCUGAAAACCAGUGGCGGGCUCGCUGUCACACCGGGCGUAGUAGAUUUUAUCUCGCUCAGGGCGUGCUGUGGGUUCCGGCCGUUAAAAAGCCUUUUUUACCCAAGGUUGACCUCGGAUCAGGUAGGAAUACCCGCUGAACUUAAGCAUAUCAAUAAGCGGAGGA
rnacentral:misc_RNA from 1 species